GCGGCUGUCGUAUAAUGGUAUUACCCCAGCUUCCCAAGCUGGUGACGAGGGUUCGAUUCCCUUCAGCCGCUC
rnacentral:tRNA from 4 species